rnacentral:lncRNA from 1 species
AUUAUAUGAAGACCCUCUUAACUAUUAGAAUGCUUAACCAACUCUCGCUAACGUAACUGACAAAGAGCUUGAUGAUUGGUACUCAAGAUCCUAAAUUUGAAUACUAGUUGAUUCACAUUUUUAGCUAAAUUUAUUUAUAAAUGAAAUAAACAAAUCGUACAUGCUAUCUUUCUCUCUAAAAAAAACUAUUAGGAUACUUUUCGACAGUGUUUGGAUUGGAGAUAAGGGGAGGGAUAACCCCUUAUCCCCUUUAUACCCAAACGCAAAUUUUUUACCUAAAAAUAGUAGUUCUCGGUUACCUAAAAUAACCUGAUAUAACUAUCCUCACUAACACCUCCAUUUUCUAUAUAUAACUACCAACUAUUUUUCUUAUUCCAUAUUAUCUAUCCAAACGCUAUUUUUCUUAUCCCCGAGAACAACCUAAUUUUAAUUCAAACGCUAUUUUUCUUAUCCCAUACUUGUACCUAUCCCUGUAAUAGCUAGAGUCCGGCCACAAUAUUGUCUCUUUUUUUGGGAGAGAGAUAGGUAGCCUGCUACUCGAUUCGUUUAUUUAUUUAGAAAUAAACUUAGCUAGAAAUGUGAAUCAAGUAAGAUUCGAACUUGGAAUCUCGGAUACCAACUAUCAAGCCUUUUGCCGCUUGCGCUAUGGACGAUCGGUCCAACUAUAAUGUUGUCAAUAGUAUGAAACAUUUGGUACUAUCAAAUUUUCUGUCUUUAAGUUUAUUCUUUAGAUCAUUUUUACCAAUUAGAUCACAUUAUUCAACCAAUCACCUACUCAGUCAUAGGAGAUUACUAUUACCCUAACCGCAUAUUUCUUAAUUUCAAGAUAAAAAACCUACAAAUAUUAAUAAAUUUGAUAUUUUAAAAAAGAAAAAACUUCAAAAACCCUCCCUAUGGUUUCGCCUUUCUCACUUUAGUAUCAUGUAGUUUAAAGUGUAUCAAUUUGCCCCUCUUUGGUUUUAUUUUUAUCUUUUCGACAGCUUUUUUCUCAAUAUUUCGUUAUAUUAUACACAAAAAACUUCAGAUACCCACCUAGAUUUAUCGAAUAUUUAUUUUAGAACUUUUUAAUUUUAAUUUUGUCACUGAUUUAAGAAAAAAUAAUAAUAAAAUUGAUACUAAAAAGAAAAAAACGAAACCAAAAGAUGACAAAUUAAUACACUUUAAAUUACAAGAUAAUAAAAUAAAAAAGUACGAAACCACAUGCAGUUUUUUUAAAGUUUUUCUUUUUAAAAAUAUAGAAGCUUAAUUCC